rnacentral:rRNA from 1 species
AAAAAUAUACCUUGCAGUGAGGGCGCGGGUGCUAAGGUCCGUGUCCGAGAGGGAAAGAACCCAGACCAACAGCUAAGGUCCCAAAAUCUACACUAAGUUGAACUAAGGCGGUUCAGUUGCUUAGACAGCCAGGAUGUUUGCUUGGAAGCAGCAAUUCAUUUAAAGAGUGCGUAACAGCUCACUGGUCGAGCGACAGAGCAUCGAUAAUAAUCGGGCAUCAAGUGUAGUACCGAAGCUAUGGAUAUAUCUCGCAAGAGAUCUGUGGUAGGGGAGCAUUCUAACAUCGGAGAAGCAGGGGGGUCACCUUCUGUGGAGAGGUUAGAAAAGCAAAUGUAGGCAUAAGUAACGAUAAGGCGGGUGAGAAACCCGCCCACCGAUAGACUAAGGUUUCCGCGGCAAUGCUAAUCAACCGCGGGUAAGUCGGGUCCUAAGGCGAAGCCGAGAGGCGUAGUCGAUGGCCAACUGGUUAAUAUUCCAGUACUACCGUAAUGAGCGAAGAAGUGACGGAGGAGUGAAAGUUCCGCGCCCUGACGAACGUGGGCGUUGAAAGGCGUAGGUAUAGGCAGUGUAGGCAAAUCCGCACAGCUUGCUGAAACCCAAUAGUACACAGAGGCUUCGGCCGAAGUGAUAGAGAACGUAAGCAGACUUCCAAGAAAACCUUCUAGCGUUAAUCAUUAUGGUACCCGUACCGCAAACCGACACAGGUAGUCAAGGAGAGAAUCCUGAGGUGCUCGAGUGAAUCAUGGCUAAGGAACUCGGCAAAUUAACCCUGUAACUUCGGGAAAAGGGGUGCCCUCAGCAAUGAGGGUCGCAGAGAAAUGGCCCAGGCGACUGUUUAACAAAAACACAUGGCUAUGCGAAAUCGAAAGAUGAAGUAUAUGGCCUGACACCUGCCCGGUGCUGGAAGGUUAAGGGGGGACGUUAGUCGCAAGACAAAGCGUUGAACUGAAGCCCCAGUAAACGGCGGCCGUAACUAUAACGGUCCUAAGGUAGCGAAAUUCCUUGUCGGGUAAGUUCCGACCUGCACGAAUGGUGUAACGAUCUGGGCGCUGUCUCAGCCAUGAGCUCGGUGAAAUUGUAGUCACGGUGAAGAUGCCGUGUACCCGCAACGGGACGGAAAGACCCCAUGCACCUUUACUAUAGCUUCACAUUGACAUUGGGUAAAUGAUGUGUAGGAUAGGUGGGAGACAUUGAUCCCGGGCCGCUAGGUUCGGGGGAGUCAACGGUGAAAUACCACCCUUUAUUUUCUUGAUGUCUAACCUCUAACAAGGGACAGUGUGUGGUGGGUAGUUUGACUGGGGUGGUCGCCUCCGAAAGUGUAUCGGAGGCUUUCAAAGGUAUGCUCAGUACGCUUGGUAACCGUACGUGGAGUGCAAUAGCAUAAGCAUGCUUGACUGUGAGACCGACGGGUCGAGCAGGGACAGA